rnacentral:rRNA from 1 species
AUACGGAGGGUGCAAGCGUUACUCGGAAUUACUGGGCGUAAAGGACGCGUAGGCGGGUUAUUAAGUCGGGUGUGAAAUCCAAUGGCUCAACCAUUGAACUGCAUUCGAAACUGAUAACCUAGAGUAUGGAAGGGGCAGGUGGAAUUAGUGGUGUAGGGGUAAAAUCCGUAGAUAUCACUAGGGAUACCGAAAGCGAAGGCGACCUGCUGGGACAUUACUGACGCUGAGGCGUGAAAGCGUGGGGAGCAAACAGGAUUAGAAACCCCAGUAGUCC